rnacentral:rRNA from 1 species
UACGGGGGGGAGCAAGCGUUGUUCGGAUUUACUGGGCGUAAAGGGCGCGUAGGCGGCCAGCGCAAGUCAGUUGUGAAAUCUCCGGGCUUAACUCGGAACGGUCAACUGAUACUGCGCGGCUAGAGUGCAGAAGGGGCAACUGGAAUUCUCGGUGUAGCGGGUGAAAUGCAUUGAGAUCGGAAAGAACACCAAACGGCGAAAGCACUCUGCUGGGGCCGACACUGACACUGAGAGACGAAAAGCUAGGGGGAGCAAAUGGG